UACGUAGGGAGCGAGCGUUGUCCGGAUUUAUUGGGCGUAAAGAGCGCGUAGGCGGCUUGGUAAGCCGGAUGUGAAACCCCCGAGCUCAACUCGGGGCGGCCAUUCGGAACUGCCAUGGCUAGAGUCUGGUAGGGGAACACGGAAUACCUGGUGUAGCGGUGAAAUGCUUAGAUAUCAGGUGGAACACCAGUGGCGAAGGCGGUGUUCUGGGCCAGUACUGACGCUGAGGCGCGAAAGCCAGGGGAGCGAACGGG
rnacentral:rRNA from 1 species